GACCAUUUGCCCGAGUGGUUAAGGGGACAGACUAGAAUCAAGUUCUUGCCCAUCUGUUACGCUCUGCGUGCGCAGGUUCAAAUCCUGCAGUGGUCG
rfam:Rhodotorula sp. JG-1b unplaced genomic scaffold RHOSPscaffold_6, whole genome shotgun sequence.